UACGAAGGGGGCUAGCGUUGCUCGGAAUCAUUGGGCGUAAAGAGCGUGUAGGCGGCCUGGUAAGUCCGCUGUGAAAGUCCAGGGCUCAACCCUGGAAUGCCGGUGGAAACUGUCAGGCUCGAGUCCGGAAGAGGCGAGUGGAAUUCCUGGUGUAGCGGUGAAAUGCGCAGAUAUCAGGAGGAACACCAAUGGCGAAGGCAGCUCGCUGGGACGUGACUGACGCUGAGACGCGAAAGCGUGGGGAGCAAACAGG
rnacentral:rRNA from 1 species